AUGAACAAGCAUCAAGUGAAGAAACUGAUAAGGAUUAUUAGCAAAAAGACACGAAUGGUGGCAAGUAAAUUAUUAGUUUAUGCUCUAUCCAACACAACAGUGAGCUGUAGGAUGUGGUUCCCGAAGCAGUUCACUCAAGAUUACCUCGCAAAGUACACGAUUGGUGGACACACAAUGAAGGUUAAAGUAUUUCAUCCAAACUACAAUGAGCAUCGAGAAGUCCUAAGGAAGACAGUGAAGGAUGGACGGGCAGCCAUCACAAGGGGUUGGCCUAGAGUCGUGCGCACCUUACACAUGGAGGAGGGCACAAUAUGGGCAUUUCGCUUCACCUUCUCCAGCAACCAGAAUGUCUUUCUCCUCUCUCUUUAUACUCUUUAG
rnacentral:rRNA from 1 species